rnacentral:tRNA from 1 species
GGGGUUCUAGCUCAUCGGUAGAGCGCUCGCUUAGCAUCUUCAGUUGAAUCUGCGAGAGGCGCUGGGUUCGAUUCCCAGGUACUCCA